rnacentral:ncRNA from 1 species
AUUAUUUGAAGAUAGAACAGGCAGCUAUCGCACCUAUAUUAAUAGGUUCAUAAAAGAGAUGCAGGAUACGCCGCCCUGCCAAUUAAU